rnacentral:tRNA from 1 species
GAGAGUUUGGCCGAGUGGUUUAAGGCGUCAGAUUUAGGUUUACUACCUAGAAGCCCAAAUCCUCUGAUAUCUACGGAUGCAUGGGUUCGAAUCCCAUAGCUCUCA